rnacentral:rRNA from 1 species
UACGAAGGGGGCUAGCGUUGCUCGGAAUCACUGGGCGUAAAGCGAACGUAGGCGGCUUUCUAAGUCAGGGGUGAAAUCCUGGAGCUCAACUCCAGAACUGCCUUUGAUACUGGGGAGCUCGAGUCCGGAAGAGGUGAGUGGAACUCCGAGUGUAGAGGUGAAAUUCGUAGAUAUUCGGAAGAACACCAGUGGCGAAGGCGGCUCACUGGUCCGGUACUGACGCUGAGGUGCGAAAGCGUGGGGAGCAAACAGG